rnacentral:rRNA from 1 species
AACCUACGGGAGGCAGCAGUGAGGAAUAUUGGUCAAUGGGCUUACGCCUGAACCAGCCAAGUCGCGUGAGGGAAGACUGCUCUAUGGGUUGUAAACCUCUUUUGUCAGGGAGCAAUUGGCGCUACGUGUAGCGUUAUCGAGAGUACCUGAAGAAAAAGCAUCGGCUAACUCCGUGCCAGCAGCCGCGGUAAUACGGAGGAUGCGAGCGUUAUCCGGAUUUAUUGGGUUUAAAGGGUGCGUAGGCGGGAUGCCAAGUCAGCGGUCAAAUACGGGGGCUCAACCUGCGUCCGCCGUUGAAACUGGCG